rnacentral:rRNA from 1 species
CACGUAGGGGGCAAGCGUUGUCCGGAUUUAUUGGGCGUAAAGAGCUCGUAGGCGGCUUGGUAAGUCAGGUGUGAAACCCCCGGGCUCAACCCGGGGACGCCACCUGAUACUGCUAUGGCUUGAGUCCGGUAGGGGAGCGUGGAAUUCCUGGUGUAGCGGUGAAAUGCGCAGAUAUCAGGAGGAACACCCGUGGCGAAGGCGGUUCUCUGGGACGGUACUGACGCUGAGACGCGAAAGCGUGGGGAGCGAACAGG